rnacentral:rRNA from 1 species
CCUACGGGAGGCAGCAGUGGGGAAUUUUGGACAAUGGGGGCAACCCUGAUCCAGCCAUUCCGCGUGAGUGAAGAAGGCCUUCGGGUUGUAAAGCUCUUUCGCAAGGGAAGAAAACUUAUGAUCGAAUAAAUCAUGAGGUUGACGGUACCUUGAUAAGAAGCACCGGCUAACUACGUGCCAGCAGCCGCGGUAAUACGUAGGGUGCGAGCGUUAAUCGGAAUUACUGGGCGUAAAGCGUGCGCAGGCGGUUUUGUAAGUCGGAUGUGAAAUCCCCGGGCUCAACCUGGGAACUGCGUUCGAAACUGCAAGGCUAGAGUGUGUCAGAGGGGGGUAGAAUUCCACGUGUAGCAGUGAAAUGCGUAGAGAUGUGGAGGAAUACCAAUGGCGAAGGCAGCCCCCUGGGAUAACACUGACGCUCAUGCACGAAAGCGUGGGGAGCAAACAGGAUUAGAUACCCUGGUAGUCCACGCCCUAAACGAUGUCAACUAGUUGUUGGUAGAGUAAAACUCUAUGAGUAACCGUAGCUAACGCGUGAAGUUGACCGCCUGGGGAGGUACGGUCGCGAGAUAAACGUUAAAGUAAGUAGAGCGNGAGACGUGCGACGACGACGACGAGGGAGAGG